rnacentral:rRNA from 1 species
AACGGGGGAUGCAAGUGUUAUCCGGAAUCACUGGGCGUAAAGCGUCUGCAGGUGGUUUCCUAAGUCCACUGUUAAACCUUGAGGCUCAACCUCAAAUCUGCAUUGGAAACUAGGAGACUUGAGUAUAGUAGGGGUAGAGGGAAUUUCCAGUGGAGCGGUGAAAUGCGUAGAUAUUGGAAAGAACACCGAUGGCGAAGGCACUCUACUGGGCUAUUACUGACACUCGAGAGACGAAAGCUAGGGGAGCAAACGGG